UACGGAGGAUGCGAGCGUUAUCCGGAUUUAUUGGGUUUAAAGGGUGCGCAGGCGGUAGAUUAAGUCUGUGGUGAAAGCGUGCGGCUCAACCGUACCGAGCCAUGGAAACUGGUUUACUUGAGUGUAAACGAGGUAGGCGGAAUGUGACAUGUAGCGGUGAAAUGCUUAGAUAUGUCCCAGAACCCCGAUUGCGAAGGCAGCUUACCAGCAUACAACUGACGCUCAGGCACGAAAGCGUGGGUAUCAAACA
rnacentral:rRNA from 1 species